UUUUUUAAACUGGGCUCUUAUGAAUUUAGACAAUGAUAAGCAAACUAUAAAAAAUGAUUGCAACAUCCGUCCUUCCCUAAAGCUAUAAUGUCUGUAUCAGUAUCAAUUAAAUUAUUCAUUAUUCUAUUAGUCAUGUAAGAUAAAUGCAUGCCGAUCCAAACAAAUCCAUUUAAGAAUUAUGCAUUAACUGCGCAAAAUAAUGUAAAAUAAGACAUUUAUUUAGUCUUAUGUCUGUUUAAUUGUUCAUAUGAUCCCGAUGCGAGUUACUAGCUGAGAAUGAUUAGCCUGCCUUAAUAUUAUCUAAUUAAUAUAGAUAAUUGAUGUGCAAUUAAUGUUUGUCUACUGUUUUUAAUGCCACUCAGCGUGAUGUAGGCUAAUAUAACAUACAAGUAGAACGUUUCAUGUCUGUGCUUUCUAUUUGAUUGGUCACUGUUCAUUUCCAGUGGUGCUGAAAUUCUGCUUCAGUCAUAAAAACUUUAAACUGGUACCGGUUUCAGGUUCUUUUAGAGUGACUCCCAGAUUAGUGGAGACACAGCCUGAGUUGAAUAUUAAUAAUUUUAUAUCAAGUCUACUUCGAAAACUGGGCUGGUCAGAUUCAAGGAAUCGACUCUUUUGGAGUCGACUCCUCAUCAGUACUGCGCAUGUGCUUACAAAUCAUCACAUCGACGCGCACGUGGAAGUGAUCGCCGCGGGAAAACUGAGUUUGUCUAGUUCCUCCAUGGUUGUGAGAGGAAAGACCUCAUCCUCGCUGUCCACCACUGGAGCACUGGAACGGUUGUUUGCUGCCAGGGACUGGACCACUGAAGUCAGAUGGUUGAUCUUCAUGUCCAGUUCAUUAAGUGCCUCCAGAAUUGUCCUCUCAACAGCUGCAACACAUUAGAUGGGUGUUCAUCCCAAGCAUCUUCUUGCUCAUUUUCAUUGGACAAGCUCACUGGAACAGCUGGAGUUAAGAAAGGUGAAGUUGAUGGGUGUUCUUCCCAAGUUUCCAGCUGGCGGUCUGAAUGAGAGAAGCUCAUUAACGUUACAAAAGGUGAGUGUCCACCCCAAUGAUCUUGUGGCUCAUCUGCCUGGGAGAAGCUCACGGGAACAUCUGGAGCUGACAAUGAUGGAACUGUACUCAUGUAGAGCCUGUUACCUUGACAGCUGGGGAAAGUCUCAAAACGGGCCUGCUCUGGCUUCUCCAUGGCCCUUUGGUGGUGAUUAACAAAUGCUGUUGAAAGAAUUGAGGUGCUGGAGGUUUUGGUGCAGGCGGGACUUUUGGUGCGGGCUGGAUUUUUGGUAAUUUUCAGAUUCUGAGAUGUCAGAAGUGUAGCAUGCCCUUUUCCAUUUUUUGGAAAUGUUGUCAAAUGAUGCUGAAAUGAUCAAAAAUUCUGGCCUGAUGCUUGGUCCAACCCUUAUCUGGCUGUGGUGCCUCCAUCAACCUGACGCUCUUUAGUAACCGGUCCAAGUCUUUGUAUGGAGGCCACCAUGAGUGGCCAUCUGAGUACCAGGACUUUGCUACAGGACCGGUACUCCCUUCUCCGACGAACUCCACUAUCAGAAAUGUGUUGGUCCUGAGAUGCCAUGAACUAGAUGAAUACCAAGUUCUGAGGAUGGAAGUGGAUAAUCAAAAAAAGGUUCAUGAUUGUUGAAGGUAGUGUAGGCCACGUAAAUGUCAUCCUUCGCUGAAAUUAUAUUUUGCAGCUUUGCAACUUUCCCAUCAAUGUAAACAUAACUGUUGGCCUGGUCCAGUUUAAGAGUGUAAGAGCAGGUUUUUAUUUCUUUGUACUGUGAAGAUCCAUGAAAACAUUCAGGUAGAGGGCCAGCUGUGUGUUGUUUUCUGAGCAUUGGUGGGUUGUUUUUCUCCUUUUUUUUGCUGCAGCUUUGCAUUUCUGAGAACCUUCUCACAAUCUGACUCAGAGGACAUGUAGGUUUCCGCAGGAGUCUUUUCAGCUUGUUAAGGUGAUCCUCAUACUGGAAAGCACUGAAGUUGUCGAGGACACCAUGGUGUUUUGCAUCUUCUGCAAGAUGUACAAGACAGUGGACGUUGUAGGACAGGAAUUUGGGGCCGUAUAGCUGUCCAAAGUGUGCGACAAAAAGUCGCAGAAUAUCAUUGGCAUAGUCGAUGUGAUCACCAAUUAGGCUGUUAUUGCACAAGAUGAAGAUUCCCACAAAAAACAGCAGGAAGUUUUUGUAUACAUCCGUGCUGAGUAGGUCUUUCAACAUAACAGGGCCUGUGUACAAUAAAAACUGUCUAAACUCGGUCGCCUUCCAACGAUCUAUUUCCCUCACUGCCCUUGGUUUGCGCGCAAAUUCCAUAGGUACAUUUUUUUUGGCACCAACCAACCUUUCUGUCAGCACAGUGGCUUGAAAUCCUGACAGCCUGCAAGUUAGAGGACCCAGUCGAAGCCACAAGUGGAGAAGCCGCCUCAUGACACCAAGGCACACAAGGUGCAUGUAAUCAAGGGGGAAUCCAGAGACCAUAUCCAAGGAUGUUUCUUCUAGUGGGAAUGUCAUCCUGUUCUCCAGGUGCACACCAUCCUGAAUGCACUUUUCGCAUCCAUGGUAGCCUGCAUGGCCCUUCACUUUUUUCAGAAAAGCACGUGCAGGUGCGUCGCAAAUCAUUGAGGUCCAGAAACGUAGUAAGGACAUCAAUAAAACAGACCAUGUGACAUCAGUGGCUCAACUUCAGUUUUAUGAAGGUGGCGAUGUACGCGCGCGAGUCGCCAAUGAGCCAAGGGAUGAAGAAGUCCUCAGGGCAAGAUGUGGUGGAGUUAUGGUUGAGAGUGCAAUCUAUUCUGCUUACCCGACUCAUGCAGACUUCUGUCCUGAUGUUUGGCUGUAGUCCUUCCAUCAUCCAGUCUUCUGCAGCCGGUCUAUUUAUGGAGACCACCAUGAUCUAAUCUAUACAGAUCUAGUUGUCUCUUCUCCCACAAACUCCUCUUUCAGAUUUUGAGCGGAUCUCCUUCAUUCUGCAGCCAGCUCACCAGAACCUCUGGGUGCACCAGCUGUGGAUAUUACAGGCCAAACUUUGGUUUUCACAUUGUUUGGAGGACAAAAUCGGGAAGGAUGUAGGGGCACACAGUUUGGGCACACAUACACAGUUCAUCUUUGGGUUUGUUGCUCUGUGCUGUUUGAUUGUAUGGUAGUCAGAACUUUGUUCAGUUUUAUUCAUUACUGUCAGCUUUCACAGCAAUACUGCUUAAUGAGCAAUUAUCUCUAUCAAACAUGGACCUUAAAGGGAUGGUUCACCCAAAAACAUUAUUCAAAUAAAUAUUGUGACAAUCAUGUUCAUGAAUCUGAUUUCAGUGGCACAGCUGUGUAGUAUCUAGUACAGAGGUCGUUGACAGUAUUGUGUGCAUUUUACAUGAUGUUCACUGUCCAGUAUUGUAUUAUUGUUUACACAGUAAGUUUUCAGUAACAUUAUUUCCUUAUAAAAUGCUCUAACAUUUUUUUCUUCUUCUUUUCUCCACCAGACACCCUAGGACAACAUCCUUAGCACAGAUCUACCUAUAGCCCUCCAUCAUUCCCACAUCCAUCUUGCAACAGUUUCAUUAACUGCAGUCCAUAACCAGUUCACAGUCUACACCUUGUCCAUUGCAAAUGUUAUGGAUUAUUCUAAUAGAGAUCUUUCUAUUAUUUUUUUUGAGACAGUUAUUAUGUACUCUGUUAUGUUGUGAAUAAAGUCAGCCCCCCCCCCCCCCCACCUCGAUGCUUUCAGCAGUUAAUAGAUUAAAGUGUGUCCUUAAUGUUUUAUUAUUUAAAGAUUGUUUUAAAGUUUAUUACAGGCUCAGUUUAUUUUUUUUAGUAUUAACUGUCAUAAUCAAGUAUGAGACUUUUGUCAGUAUCAUUAAUUCUAUGAGGCAAUAUGAAUCAAAUUAACAUUUGUAUAGGGUUUUCAUCCGAAGGCUUCUUCCUCAUUCAGUUAAACAUCAAAGGUUUUCUAUGCCUUUGUCACUUUUUACUUUCUCAUUGGAAAUUAUGAGCAUCAUUAUUUGGAAGAAAAUAAGAAUAUGAAAAUGGCUUUGAUUUCAAUGUAUUGAAUGGAAUCAAAGAACCACACAAACCUUUGACCUUCACACAGACAUUGUAUAAAUUAAAGUGUUACUCAAAUUA